rnacentral:rRNA from 1 species
GAUGAACGCUGGCGGCGUGCUUAACACAUGCAAGUCGAACGGACCGGAUUCGUCUGGUCAGUGGCAGACGGGUGCGUAACACGUAGGUGACCUGCCCUCGAGUGGGGAAUAACGCGACUAACGUCGCGCUAAUACCGCAUAUGUUCGCUUCUUCGGUGGGGCGAGUAAAGCAGUGAUGCGCUUGGGGAUGGGCCUGCGGCGGAUUAGCUAGUUGGUGGGGUAACGGCCUACCAAGGCGAUGAUCCGUAGGGGGCGUGAGAGCGUGGCCCCCCACAUUGGCACUGAGACACGGGCCAAACUCCUACGGGAGGCAGCAGUGAGGAAUAUUGCACAAUGGGCGCAAGCCUGAUGCAGCAACGCCGCGUGAGGGACGACGGCCUUCGGGUUGUAAACCUCUUUUCUGGGGGACGAGGAAGGACGGUACCUCAGGAAUAAGUCUCGGCUAACUACGUGCCAGCAGCCGCCGUAACAC